UGACGUCGGUUCCUCCUCCUGGCUGCAGUGAACCAGGGGGAUUUUACGAUGUCGCAGAGAAACUCGGGUCUUUUUCACCCAGAAAGCUUCAGGCUAACGCCGCCGGACACAGCUUCCUGGUUUUGCAGGACCCGACAAAC
ensembl:snoRNA SNORA79 small nucleolar RNA, H/ACA box 79